GCCGGGGUGGCGGAACCAGGUAACGCGGUAGGCUCGAGACCUACUGGGGCUUUGCCCCUUCUGGGUUCAAAUCCCAGCCCCGGCG
rnacentral:tRNA from 1 species